GAAUCUUGCGCAAUGGGCGAAAGCCUGACGCAGCAACGCCGCGUGGGGGAUGAAGGCUCUCGGGUUGUAAACCCCUUUCAGCAGGGACGAAUCAAGACGGUACCUGCAGAAGAAGCCCCGGCUAACUACGUGCCAGCAGCCGCGGUAACACGUAGGGGGCAAGCGUUGUCCGGAUUUAUUGGGCGUAAAGAGCUCGUAGGCGGCUCAGUAAGUCGGGUGUCAAAUCCUCAGGCUCAACCUGGGGCUCCACCCGAUACUGCUGUGGCUAGAGUCCGGUAGGGGAGCGUGGAAUUCCUGGUGUAGCGGUGAAAUGCGCAGAUAUCAGGAGGAACACCAGCGGCGAAGGCGGCGCUCUGGGCCGGAACUGACGCUGAGGAGCGAAAGCGUGGGUAGCAAACAG
rnacentral:rRNA from 1 species